UUUUAUUUGAAGAAUUAAAGUUUUGGAAAUAAUUUAGAGGAUGUGAAAUCCGGUGACCAGGUUAUUUUGAAGCUGUUCACUUUGAUGUCAAGUUCGUAUGCUGGUGUUCCUCCGGUGCUGGAAGACACCAUGGAUCAGCCUGGAUAUGAAUCUCCACGAUCUUCUUUUGGAUAUGUCCACUUCGUUGUUUCGUUGAUCAUCGCCAUGUUCUAGCAAACAUGUCAUCGGGUGAAUACGAAAGAGUAGGUUGGAUGUGUGUAAACCCUAAGUUUUUAUGAACCGGUUGGAUAGGAAGCACUCGAAUCCCAAAAGUUCAGUAGAUGUUAAAGGAUUUCUUCGAUGGCAAGGAACCCAACAAAGGAACUAACCCUGAUGAGGUUUUGGCCUAUACAACCGCCGUCCAAGGUGGAGUAUUAAGUGGUGAAGGUGGAGAAGAAACGCAAAGUAAGUGACUCUUUUUAACUCUCUUUAUGACAAUAGUUUAGACCAUCUAUAGUGUUUUCAUGUUAGUCAUGUAUUUGAGUUGCAGAAAACCUAAAUUUAUUGAAAACAAAUAUUUUGCUACUUGAUGUUGCGCCUUUGCACCUCGGUAUUGACACUGUCGGAGGCGUGAUGACAAACAUUAUUCCUCGGAUCCCAACGAAGAAGUCUCAGGUGUUCACUACUUACCAAGAUCAGCAAACUACUGUUACUAUCAACGUCUAUGAAGAGAUAAGCAUGACGAAAGAUAACCCCGAGCUCGGAAAUUUCCAGCUCACCGGCCUUCUUCCUGCACCUAGGUAAACUCUCUAAUUCAAUAUUGGCUACUAAACCAUUUCGGUUCUUGGUUUUUUAAAGACGCAAGGAACAGUUUUUCAUGGGGGUGCCACAGAUGGAGGUGACUUUCGAAGUGGACGCAAAUGGGAUUCUGCAAGUGAACACCGAAGACAAAGUUCCAAAGAUGU